rnacentral:rRNA from 1 species
CUCCUACGGGAGGCAGCAGUGGGGAAUAUUGCACAAUGGGGGAAACCCUGAUGCAGCGACGCCGCGUGNNGGAAGAAGUNUUUCGGNAUGUAAANUUCUAUCANCAGGGAAGAUAAUGACGGUACCUNACUAANAAGCACCGGCUAAAUACGUGCCAGCAGCCGCGGUAAUACGUANGGUGCAAGCGUUAUCCGGAAUUACUGGGUGUAAAGGGAGCGCAGGCGGUNNGNCAAGUUNGANGUGAAAGCCNNGGGCUCAACCCCGGUAUUGCNUUNGAAACUGUUUUUCUAGAGUNUCGCAGGGGUAAACGGAAUUCCUAGUGUAGCGGUGAAAUGCGUAGAUAUUAGGAGGAACACCAGUGGCGAAGGCGGUCUUACUGGNCGANAACUGACGCUGAGGCUCGAAAGCNUGGGGAGCAAACAGGAUUAGAUACCCUGGUAGUCCAUCGCCGUAAACGAUGAAUACUAGGUGUUGGGA